UUGAGAACAAAAAGGCAUAGGUACUAAGAAUAUCAUACAUGUAGUGUUAGUUCCCCAAUUAAUAUCUGAAGAGGUCUGUGACAAGGUAAGACAAUGAAGCUUGCCCACAAAGAGGUCUACAAUCAUCCAAGGAAGACAGCUGGUCCUUGUUGGGGAUUCAGUAUUCAGAAGAAUUGAAAGAAUAUUCUGUAAGGGACAGGCAGACAGAAGGACAAAUAUGCUGUCUUCUCAGAGCCUAGACACAAGACAUCACUCUAAGAUUGGAUUGGCUUCGAAAGUCAACAGGCAAGGAUCCACUGGUGGUGGUUCAUAUCGGCACUAAUGACACUACAUCACAGGAUCUCUCUCAGAUAAUUCAUGUGAAAGAAGACAGAAGAUUCUGGCGGUGAACAUGGUCCGGUGAGUCAUCCAUCAAAUCCUGAUCUCGACAGCAGCAGCAUCUGGACACGGUUGUUAACUCUUUGGAGCAGGAAUGGACUUUUCGUUCUUCAUUUGUACAACACCAAGCCCAAUGGGGUCCUGGUCCAUGACUACAUCUCUUAGUAACUAUGCACAAGGCUAAACAAUUGAGCCUUGCAUGGCAUCACUGGCCAGACAAGGCAGGAUGACAACUGCCCCUUGCUCAUAUGGGUCACCACCAAGACACAUUAUCUGCUGGGCACAGCAGCCAACUAGACUCUGGGUGCAGAUCUCCCCACCAGAAGAAAGAAGCCCUUGGGGCAGCUGGGCUCCCAGAGACAAACUGCACAAAUGCUCUGGUGAGGAUGUACAAUACCAACAGAAGGACAUCAGUAAUUACUGCACUGGCUGUGGAGAAGAUCCAGCAGGAUCCUGCAAAGGGGACUUGGAAGCAGAGGAGCCAUCUAUAGAAUCAUCUUUCUUUCCUAAGACAUUGCCCUAGCUCUUCCCCCAUAGCUCCAUGCAGAUGAGGUUCUAGAGAGCCAACUCGUCUUGAGCCAAGUGCCAGAAGAUUAAGGGCCCAAUUGCUCCCCUACUGACAUUUGUAGAA